GAUGAACGCUAGCGGCAGGCCUAACACAUGCAAGUCGAGGGAGAAGCCCUUCGGGGCAGAAACCGGCGCACGGGUGCGUAACGCGUAUGCAACCUACCUUUCACAGGGGGAUAGCCCGAAGAAAUUUGGAUUAAUACCCCAUAAUAUUAUUGGAUGGCAUCAUUUGAUAAUUAAAAUUACGAUGGUGAAAGAUGGGCAUGCGUCCUAUUAGCUAGUUGGAGUGGUAACGGCACCCCAAGGCUACGAUAGGUAGGGGUCCUGAGAGGGAGAUCCCCCACACUGGUACUGAGACAGGGACCAGACUCCUACGGGAGGCAGCAGUGAGGAAUAUUGGUCAAUGGUCGGAAGACUGAACCAGCCAUGCCGCGUGCAGGAAGAAUGCCUUAUGGGUUGUAAACUGCUUUUAUAUGGGAAGAAUAAGGAGUACGCGUACUUNGANGACGNUNCCA
rnacentral:rRNA from 1 species